ensembl:lncRNA
GAGAAGCCCUGUCUGUCUCUGCUGGAUACGAUGCAGGACCUGUGCUCUGCGUAAUGCACUGCAGUGAAGCCAGAAAGCGACUGGAAUCUGGGUGUAGUGUACAAGGGAAAUGAAAUAUGAAACCGCAGCCGUUCCCUGCAGGGAGUGAGAGCUUACUGCAUAGAGCGCAUUAUGAAACUGAACACGUGCAGGGCUCUACUGACACACGCCACACAAACAAAUGACACGGGCACCAGAUCGCUCCCAACGCUCAGAGCUCAGGGCUAAUUCAGUGCAGGAGGGAGCUCAAUAACUGUUCUGGUUUCUUUGUUGCCCAUCAUCAGCUGACCAGGCUGGAUCUCUGCUCAGAGCCACAGGAUGUGUGGAGGAGGAAUUCUCUCCAGGGCUCCAAAGGGGCUGGGGCAGUUCACCGUAAUGCCAACCCCAGCACCCCUGAGAGGCGACAUAUGCCUGGUUACCCAACCCUGACAGAAAGUGUUAGUCACACUCAGGAGAGAUCAUGGAAAAGCGAAUGCAGAUACCGCUCGCCUGAGCCCAGAAAAGCAGAGAAUCGGCUUCAACUCAAAAUCUGGAUAGAAAAUCUGCGAAAAAGCACCUGGGAAAUGAAGAACUGAAGAACUGAAACCAGACAUGAGGUGUUAGAGUUUGAUUAAAUGUCAGGCUUACACGUAUACAGAUGGCACAGGGUAAUGUUUUCACAAGCGCCUAAGGAGCCUAACUCCCAUUUUACUGGGCACCCAAGUGCCUAAGUCACUUUUGAAAAUGGAACGUAGGCUCCUAAGUCACUUGGGUGCUUCUGAAAAUGUUAUCCCUAAUCAAGGAUGAAUAAUAUAGGCUUCAGUACAAAACCCCCUGAGGGAGGGUCCCCAGGGAGGUGAUGGGACGGGAUGACAAAAAGGACUAGCUGACAUGGACAGGCCUCUCAGUUGUUCUCCAGAGUUUCAGUUUUCAGUUAAAAAGCCUUUAGCCGAACUGGUUGCGAAGAAAACUGUGAACAUGUGACCUGAGUGUAACUGACGCAGAGACGACUUCUGCAUGAGUUUGCAGAGAGUGUGAACUGCCCCAUUCAUUUCACUGGGCACUAACUAUAUGCCAGUGAUGAUGUCAACAUUGUUAAUUAAUUCACUACUCCACAAAGCAAGGAAGGAAGGCAAGGAAGUAUCAUACAAGGAAGAGCAACACAAUCUACUCUGAGGUCUGGUCUACACUACAGAGUUAGGUUGACACAAGGUAGCUUACGUCAACCUAACUACGGAAGUUUCUGCACUUAUAUUUCACACCAGCCGACAAAACAGCCUCGCUAUGCCGACUUAAUAACUCCACUCCAUGAGCAGCAUAGAGUCAAGGUCAAUGUAGUUAGGUUGACGCAGUGUCAGUGUAAACACUGCAUUGGUUACCUCGACUAUUACCGGCUUUCAGGAGCCGUCCCACAGUGCCCCACACUGACAGUACAAUCAACACAAGCACUGCUGGUGAGGACGCAUACUGCUGACACAAGGAGCAAAGUGUAGUCAUGCACAAGCAAUGUAAUUACUGUGGCGGCUGUAUGCCAACAUAAGUUAGGUCGACUUAAUUUUGUAGCGUAGGCAUGGCCUAAGUAACUGCUCAUUUUGAGGAGGCCUCACAGAGAGGACAUAACUGGAUUCCUUAUCAUUGAAUCAUAGAAUAUUAAAGUUGGAAGAGACCUCAGGAGACAUCUAGUCCAACCCCCUGCUCAAAGCAGGACCAACACCAACUAAAUCAUCCCAAAGGAGAGGCUCAGCUUUCUAAAGUUUGGGGAAUGCUGGUGUGCAAUUUGUUUUAGUACUAGGAUAUCUGUUGUGUUCCCUGAUUGUGGAGCCAUAUGUUUGUUUCCUGUGUGUAAGACAAAUAAAUUCAAUUAAAUAACCCA